UGGACAAAAUGGCACUGAGGCCAGGGACAACAAAGUCAUAGUCAAGAGCCCUGGAAUUGGGUUAAGGAGUUUUGAAGCCUUGAAAACAAGUGGGGGCUGGU